rnacentral:rRNA from 1 species
UUACCAACAUUGACCGUACCCUAAACCGACACAGGUGGACUGGUAGAGUAUACCAAGGCGCUUGAGAGAACUAUACUGAAGGAACUCGGCAAAUUGCAUGCGUAACUUCGGGAUAAGCAUGACUUCUACGAGGGCAACCUUGUAGGAGUGGCACAAAAGAGGGGGUGGCGACUGUUUACUAAAAACACAGGGCUCUGCGAAGAUGCAAAUCGACGUAUAGGGUCUGACGCCUGCCCGGUGCCGGAAGGUUAAAAGGAGGGGUUAACGCCCUGGAUUGAAGCCCCGGUAAACGGCGGCCGUAACAAUAACGGUCCUAAGGUAGCGAAAUUCCUUGUCGGGUAAGUUCCGACCUGCACGAAUGGCGUAACGACUUCCCCACUGUCUCCAGUAUAGACUCAGCGAAAUUGAAUUCCCCGUGAAGAUGCGGGGUUCCUGCGGUCAGACGGAAAGACCCCAUGCACCUUUACUAUAGCUUUACGCUGGCAUUUGUGUCGGCAUGUGCAGGAUAGGUGGUAGGCUUUGAAGCAGGGACGCUAGUUCUUGUGGAGCCGCAAGAUGAGAUACCACCCUUAUCGUCAUAGAUGUCUAACCGCGGCAUAACAGUGUCCGGGACAGCGUAUGGUGGGUAGUUUGACUGGGGCGGUCGCCUCCCAAAGAGUAACGGAGGCGCGCGAUGGUGGGCUCAGGACGGUCGGAAAUCGUCCGCUGAGUGCAAUGGCAUAAGCCUGCCUGACUGCGAGACUGACAAGUCGAGCAGAGACGAAAGUCGGUCAUAGUGAUCCGGUGGUCCCGCGUGGAAGGGCCAUCGCUCAACGAAUAAAAGGUACGCUGGGGAUAACAGGCUGAUAAUGCCCAAGAGUCCAUAUCGACGGCAUUGUUUGGCACCUCGAUGUCGGCUCAUCACAUCCUGGGGCUGGAGCAGGUCCCAAGGGUAUGGCUGUUCGCCAUUUAAAGUGGUACGUGAGCUGGGUUUAGAACGUCGUGAGACAGUUCGGUCCCUAUCUGCCGUGGGUGUAGGAAUAUUGAGAAGAGCUGACCCUAGUACGAGAGGACCGGGUUGGACGAAUCUCUGGUGGACCUGUUGUGGCGCCAGCCGCAUUGCAGGGUAGCUAAAUUCGGACGGGAUAACUGCUGAAAGCAUCUAAGCAGGAAGCCUCCUUCAAAACUAGUAUUCCCUUGAGAGCCGUGGAAGACCACCACGUCGAUAGGCCGGGUGUGGAAGCGUAGCAAUAUGUGAAGCUUACCGGUACUAAUAGCUC